AACGAACGCUGGCGGCGUGGAUAAGACAUGCAAGUCGAGCGGGAACUUUCGCUGGUAGCAAUACAGUGAAAGUUCUAGCGGCGAACGGGUGCGUAACACGUGGACAAUCUGCCUUAAAGUGGGGGAGUAGCUCGGCGAAAGCCGAAUUAAUACCGCAUGUGAUGAGAGACGACAUCGCCUUGAAUUCAAAGCGGGCAACCUGGCGCUUUUUGAGGAGUCCGCGGCCGAUCAGCUAGUUGGUGAGGUAACGGCU
rnacentral:rRNA from 1 species